GUGUAUCAACACGACGUUGGAGAGGUUUGGUCUCUGACGUCAUCACCCAAGGAUCCAAACGUGUUAGCAACUUGCUACAACACGUUGAGACCAGAAGAUAAUGACUGUGUUAUGAAAAGUGCAUUAUGGAGAAUGCCUGAGACUAGUCCCAGCGAUGCCUCCACCCCACUCGAACAGCUCUGUCUAUUCGAUACUGCACAAUACGGAACUCAAGUUAAGGUGACAGCUUUUCACCCGACAGAGACAGAGCAAGCGGCCACGGUUGUUGACAACCACGUUCUCAUCUGGGAUGUUGGAGAAGCAGCUCCUCGAUUGACCUAUAAAGUGGCAUUUGAAGGAAAAGGUCAUCCAAGGUUCACCACUGGUAAAUGGAAUCAUCAGCAAGUGAGUUCACAAUUCGCCACAGCCAAUGACUCGACGAUUCGAGGAUGGGACUUGAGAACCAGCAAGCAGGCAUGGACCAUAGACAAUGCUCACUCCCAGCUCGUUAGGGACGUGGACUUCAACCCGAACCGGCUGUUCUACGUGGCGUCGUGUGGAGACGACGCCAGCUGCAAGUUCUGGGACCUGCGCCAGCCGGCCACUCCCGUACUCACACUGGCCAAGCACUCGCACUGGGUUUGGGUCGUGCGCUACAACCAGGUACGCGACCAGCUGGUGCUCUCCGCUUCGAGCGACGGCGUCCUACUUCUGUCGAGUGUGGCGUCGAUCGCCUCGGCGCCCCUCGAGGACGAGGUCGAUGAGGAUGACGACGCCGACAAGCCUAGCACCCGAGCGACCCGAGACGGCGUCCUCGCGAGGCACGACCAACACGAGGACUCGGUCUACUGCGUCGAGUGGUCGGCCGCCAACCCCUGGUGUUUUGCCUCGCUCAGCUAUGACGGCCGGCUCCUAGUCAACAAGGUGGCUAGGUCUAUCAUGAUUAUGUAUCUAUAGUGUUCUUGUCAUUUCCUCAUAAAAUGCAAAUUCCUAUGGCUUUUAUUGGUGGAGAGCCCCUUGUGGGAAGAUUCCACCUCGCCUGAAUAUAUCAUUUAAGCAAUCAAUGUGUGUCUUACGACUGUCAUACUUCAACCGGGACCGACAACUUGACGUGUCCAUCCGAUAACACUGGAGUGAUCUAACAACUUUUUUUCAUAUUUGGGUUUGAAAAUGGAUAAAAUUGUAUAUUAAUCAUUAAAGAAAAAUUCCAAGUUGAAUGCUGUAAACCAUCCAGAGACAGGGUGAACAGCUAGAAGGAAAUUCGGCGUGAGCUAUUAUCCAUUAUCCAAGAAUUAGCCCUAGUCAAUAUUUGCAAUAGCAGAAGUCUUCGUGGUUGUUUACAGCAUUCAACUUUGGAUUUUUGUUUAAUAUUGAUUAAUGAGUAUUAAUCUUAUUGUUAUAUAUGUAAUCUUGAAUAAAAACAAUGUAAUUCGUUAUGUUCGAUUCAUAUUCGUUAGCAUUUGAGCUAAUGCAAUUUUCAUUUAUUCCAAUCAAUAAUAUAUCAAGUUAUAUUCAAUGUAAAACCAAUGUAAUUCGUUAUAUUCGGUUCAUAUUCGUUAGCAUUUGAGCUAAUGCAAUUUCUCAUUAAUUUCAAUCAAUAAUAUAUCAACUUGUAUUUACAUAAUUUCAAGUAUUCAAAAUUAAUAUUAUUUAGCUUACUUGCGCCGAAACUUAUUCAUCUUAUUAUCUUGUUAGAUAUGUUAUCUAUCUCAUGCUGAGAAUGUACUGUAUUUAUUAUGAUUGUAUUCUAUUAUUUAGUAAUACAUCUUAUUCAUAUCAAACUGAGAUGAUGCAGUAUCUUCCACCAAUGUUUCCAUUUUUUAAGGAAGUGAUAACCUAUGUAUUUAUAGUUUUUUUUUUGUAUAAUAUCUUCUCAAGCUUGAGUAUCUCUGUUAAAUAUCUAUCUCAAGCUUAGAUAAUUUAUAGUUUGUGUAAAAUAAGUUGAGACUUGGCCCUCCAUCCGAAGAAAUUUCAGGGUUGCCAAAUCGUGUAAAUUUUACAUUCUAUAGUUUGUGUAAAAUAAGAUGAGACUUGGCCCUCCAUCCAAAGGAUUACAGGGUUGCCAAAUCGUGUAAAAUUUACUUCGGAUUUUUCUUCGGAUCGAGGGCUAAGUCUCAACUUAUUUUACACAAACUAUAAUGACCCAAUUUUGUAUUGUCAAAGAAAAGGAUACGUAAUGUAUUUAUGUAUUAAUAAAUUUGUUGUUAUGAGUUUCUAUUGUUUAAAUACGAAUUAGAGUGUAUAAUGUAUCUACUGUAUUUAUAAUUCCAUUAGAUGGUAUUAAAAAUUAUGAUUUAUUUCCA
rnacentral:misc_RNA from 1 species